GACGAACGCUGGCGGCACGCUUAACACAUGCAAGUCGAACGGAAAGGCCUGCUUUCCCCUGUGGAUUGCGGGUACUCGAGUGGCGAACGGGUGAGUAACACGUGAGUGAUCUGCCCCCAACUUGGGUAUAAGCCUGGGAAACUGGGUCUAAUUCCCGAUAGGACUGCAGGGUGGUGCCUGUGGUGGAAAACGAUUUUCUAGUGGUUGGGGAUGAGCUCGCGGCCUAUCAGCUUGUUGGUGGGGUAAUGGCCUACCAAGGCGGCGACGGGUAGCCGGCCUGAGAGGGUGGACGGCCACAUUGGGACUGAGAUACGGCCCAGACUCCUACGGGAGGCAGCAGUGGGGAAUAUUGCACAAUGGGCGGAAGCCUGAUGCAGCGACGCCGCGUGGGGGAUGACGGCCUUCGGGUUGUAAACUCCUUUCGACCGCGAGGAAGCCACCUGGUUGGAAGGGUGGUGACGGUAGUGGUAGAAGAAGCACCGGCUAACUACGUG
rnacentral:rRNA from 1 species